UAUUGCUUGUUAUAUUUAAAAAUCAUGAGAAAUAAUGAUCCAUGCUACAAGCAUCUUUGCAAUGAUUAUUAGAGAUUACAAUCAAGAAACAUAAAUAUUAAGUCAAUGAACUCUGGGGUCCCUUAUAACAGUUGCAAAAUUCCAAUAUUAUGACCUUGCUUUUUUUCUCGUGUCUGAGGAAUUGCCAGAGGGGAAGUAUCUCUAAAGGAGGAAUUAAGACCUCAGUCUCAGCUUGUGUUGCAACAUCUCUUUGUUCUUAGAGCUCGCUUUGUAGCAAACAGUGGGUUUCUCAGAAAUGAUUUCAAAUUUCAUGAAAGUACAUUAUAGGAACUCAGGAGAUUAGCCAGACAAAAGCUUAUAAGACAGAUGCAAAAUACAUAAAAAUAUUAAUUUAAGUAAUACAACAAAUUAAGCUUACUUACUAUCAGUGUAUAAGGAUAGACAUAUAUGCAAAUAUAUAAACUAUACCUCUUUAGUGCUUUGUAUGAUGUGUCUGAUUCUAUGACUAAAUAUAUAUCCACUAAUACACAUAUUUUUGAUCUGGUACAUUUCCAUUUUAAAAAUCGUUCCCCAAAUCCUAUAAUUACCGAGAUUGCUGACUAGUGCUAUUUGAAAACUCUUUGUAGUCCAGGUUACUUAUCAUCAUGUUGGAUAAAAAUAGGCAAAUGACAUCUGUUCCCUUUUAAGAAAUAGAGUUCCUGGUUUCAUGGAACCUAAUUAACUGGUUAGAGUAGCCAUCCAUAAAAACGGGAGCUAGCACUUCAGGGCCCAUUAGCAUCGCCCCAUGAAGCUGUUCUCCUUAGCUGGCUGAUUUUUCUCUUUCCAAGCUUAAGGAUCUUGACCCUGAAUAUGUGGUAGGUCCUAUUCAAGUUUCCUUUCACUUUUAAUCCUGUAAGUGGUUAGAGUAGGUUGCUAAUGAGGUUAAAUAAUGGACUGAAGUCCUAGGCAGAUUUGUCAUUAUUGUUGUUGUUCCAUGAGUUCAUACCUUGACUUGGUUAGUUCCAUCAAAAUUAAGAUAAGGGUCAGAUGUAGUUUAUAUCUCUAAGUUCUUUUCUAAAGAACACAUUCUAACUUAAAAACAGAUAUUCAGACACUGAAUUUUAAACUUGUUUCAUAGAAUACCAAUUUUCAAAAAAGUAUUCCUUGAAAAACAAAGGAAGGGAAGCUUCUAGAUUAACACCUGCAUGUUGCAUGUUGACUUUACAUGUCAAGGUCAACACUUGAAAGAUUGCAUGGAUGGCUCACUCAAGAAAACUUCUCAGCAUUAGCACAUUAAAGGUUCUGAGAUUUCUAGCAAACAAACCUGCUUCCCCUUAUUUAACCAGAAUAGUCAAGCUUAUCUGAUAAAGGAAGGUUUGUUUUAUUCUGAUAAAUAUAUAUUGCUAUUCCAUGGAAUUCCACAUUUUUAGAAAUAAGAGAUAUUAAAUCAGGUUUUGGAGGCCACAGUGUUCAAAUUGUAUUCAUUUUAUAUAUCUACAACAAAUCCCAUUUGGCAGAUAACUUGAGGGUCACAGAUUUUAUUCCAAGACUGGCUUACUGAACUUGCAGAACUGUAAGUGGCAAUAAGGUUUCCUUAUUUCCAUUCUAAAUCAUCUCAUUGUUACCAAGAAUUCUUGGUUAUUUGCUCGAAGAUAUUCUUCACUACUUUUUCUGGAGGCACAACAUACUUUCCACCAAAUUUGGAAUAGGUGAUUUAUGACUCUUGAUCUAAUAACAAAAUUUCAAACACAACCAAAAUGGAGCAAAGUUUACAUUUUUACCACAUGUAGAUUUCUAAAAUCUUAAUAACAAGAGGUAAAAUAUAACAGUAGGCAUUACAAAUGUCAUGAUGAGCCUUGCCAAGAUAAAUCCUCAUAGAGACAACAACAACAAAAAAGAAUAAAGAAACAAAUUGGAAGCAAAACUGAAUCCAUGAGUCCAGAUUCAGGUUGUACAUAGAAGUUACUGAAAGCUAAACUUUGAGUUCUAGAUAUUCAUACUCAAACUGAAAAUGCGGGCCAAGGUGUAGAGACCCUGCUCAUCAAAAAAUAAAGCUGGGGGGGGGGGGGGGGGAAGGUGAUGACACAAUCUCAAAUGAAAGAAUAAUUCCUAUCUUCCCAGAGCAAGAAUCUAUAAAACAUGAAUAUACAUAAAUGAAAUAAGCCCAAGGGGAGAUGAAACAGACUGAACCACAGACUGGAAAUAAAAAACAUCGUCAUUAAAAUCAAAGACUAAAACAACACCCAUGAGGUGAACCAAUUCUAAAGAUGAAGCAACACUGUAGAGAAGGAGAGAAUUAAUGAAUUUGACAAUUAUACUGAGAAUUCACUGAGAAUAUAUCACAAAGAGCAAAACAAACUUCUAAAGGAUAAGGGAAAGCAGUCUCAUUAAAAUUUCCAGGGUCUGCUCUAGAGUUCAAGCUUUCUCAAAGAUCAAUGCAAACUUCACUUACCAUUGGGUUUUGUUGAUCCAUCCUUCAAGAAGCUAAUUUAAAUUUCUCCUCGCCAAGUAAUAUGGAAUUGGAAACUUCCAUUUGAAUCCUCUCAGCCUGAUUUCAUCUAUGUCCUAUGUUGGAGACUAGAAAACUGGAUUGCAUAUUAAACUUACCCUGCUUUUUAUUAAACUUGUCUCAAAGCACAGAGCUCAAGUAAUUUACACCAGAAAUGCCAAGGGUGGAGAUGCCCCAGCUGCUGGUGAAGAUGCAUGAACAGAUUCCACCACCAACUGUACAUUUUGGAAAAUAAACUUUAUUAAAUCAAAAAUAAAAAUAAAAAAUAAA